ensembl:lncRNA
GCGAGGCGGGGUGAGGCAAGGCGUGGCAGGCGAGGCGGGGCAGGUCAAGCUGAGGCUCAGUGGGGUGAGGCGAGGCGGGGAGAGGCGGGGCAAGGCGAGACGUGGUAGGCAUGGCGGGGUGGGGUGAGACGGGGCGAUGUUGGACGAGGCGGACAGAGUGGAGCGAGGCGGGGAAACCUAGGCGUGGCGGGGUGGAAGCAAGCAAGGCGGGGCGAGGCAAGGCGAGAUGAGGCGAUGCAGUGCGGGGCAGGCCAGGCGAGGCGAUGCGAGGCGGGGCAGGGUGAGACAAGGCAGGGCAAGGCGGGGCGAGGCGGGGUGGGGCUA